GAGGAAAAGAAACCAACCGGGAUUGCCUCAGUAACGGCGAGUGAAGCGGCAAGAGCUCAAAUUUGAAAGCUGGCUCCUUCGGGGUCCGCAUUGUAAUUUGCAGAGGAUGCUUCGGGUGCGGCCCCUGUCUAAGUGCCCUGGAACGGGCCGUCAGAGAGGGUGAGAAUCCCGUCUGGGAUGGGGUGUCCGCGCCCGUGUGAAGCUCCUUCGACGAGUCGAGUUGUUUGGGAAUGCAGCUCUAAAUGGGUGGUAAAUUUCAUCUAAAGCUAAAUACUGGCCGGAGACCGAUAGCGCACAAGUAGAGUGAUCGAAAGAUGAAAAGCACUUUGAAAAGAGAGUUAAAAAGCACGUGAAAUUGUUGAAAGGGAAGCGCUUGCGACCAGACUCGCCUCCAGGGUUCAGCCGGCAUUCGUGCCGGUGUACUUCCCUGGGGGCGGGCCAGCGUCGGUUUGGGCGGCCGGUCAAAGGCUCCCGGAAUGUAGUGCCCUCCGGGGCACCUUAUAGCCGGGAGUGCAAUGCGGCCAGCCUGGACCGAGGAACGCGCUUCGGCACGGACGCUGGCAUAAUGGUCGUAAACGACCCGUC
rnacentral:rRNA from 1 species